rnacentral:rRNA from 1 species
UCAAAGAUUAAGCCAUGCAUGUCUAAGUAUAAACAACUUGUAUUUGUGAAACUGCGAACGGCUCAUUAAAUCAGUUAAUAUUUAUUUGAUAAUGAUUUUACUACAUGGAUAGCCGUAGUAAUUCUAGAGCUAAUACAUGCGUAUAAGUUUGACUCCGUGAGGGGAAGAACUGUAUUUAUUAGAUCGAAAAACAAAGGAGCGUGUGCAGUCGAUUAACCUCGAAUGUGUGCGUUCCAUAAUGAUGAAUCAUAAUAACUUUGUCGAAUCAUUGGGUCACCCCUUUGAUGUGUCAUUUGAAUUUCUGCCCUAUCAACUUGUGAUGGUAGGAUAGAGGCCUACCAUGGUUUUGACGGGUAACGGGGAAUUAGGGUUCGAUUCCGGAGAGGGAGCCUGAGAAAUGGCUACUACUUCUAAGGAAGGCAGCAGGCGCGCAAAUUACCCAAUCCCAAUAAUUUUGGGGAGGUAGUGACAAAAAAUAUCGAUUCGAGCGGACUAUGUCCGUAUCGAAAUUGGAAUGAUUCACCAGUAAAUGAGGUGGAGAGAAACAAUUAGAGGGCAAGUCUGGUGCCAGCAGCCGCGGUAAUUCCAGCUCUAAUAGUGUAUACUAAAAUUGCUGCAGUUAAAAAGCUCGUAGUUGAAUUUGUUGCUGAGUAUGUAGGGUGAAAUUCUUUAUUACAUUGAUCUAUACCUGUAACUUGGUGUAGUCAUGUGGUGGAGAUGCAUUCUUGACUCAGUGUUUGUAAUGUUUUUCGAAGGAUGGUGAGGCACUUUAUUGGGCUUUCACUGUAAUUCGGAGAGUUUACUUUGAAGAAAAUGGAGUGUUCAAAGCAGGUUUAUAAAAAGCGCAACUGAACACAUUAGCAUGGAAUAAUAAAAUAGGACACUUGGUUAUUGUGUGGUAAAACGCACAGUAACUUUCCUCCAUUGGGGGAAAUUCUAUUUUGUUGGUUUAUAGUGCAAGUGUAAUGAUUAAUAGGGACAGUUGGGGACAUUCGUAUUGCAUCGUCAGAGGUGAAAUUCUUGGAUUGAUGCAAGACGAACGAGUGCGAAAGCAUUUGGCAAGGAUGUUUUCAUUAAUCAAGAACGAAAGUUAGGGGAUCGAAGGCGAUCAGAAACCGCCCUAGUCUUAACUAUAAACGAUGCCAACUAGGGAUUGGGGGGAAGGAGAUUGUAUUAUAUCUUCUUACGUUUAUAAUAGCAUAAGUGUUGGCAACAAUACUUGGCUAUUUGCCUCGUCAGGACCUGAUGAGAAAUCAUAAGUCUUUGGGUUCUGGGGGGAGUAUGGUCACAAGGCUGAAACUUAAAGAAAUUGACGGAAGAGCACCACCAGGUGUGGAGCCUGCGGCUUAAUUUGACUCAACACGGGAAAACUUACCAGGUCCAGACACGGGGAGGAUUGACAGAUUGAGAGUUUUUUCUUGAUUUCGUGGGUGGUGGUGCAUGGUCGUUCUUAGUUGGUGGAGCGAUUUGUCUGCUUAAUUGCGAUAACGAACGAGACCUCAACCUGCUAACUAAGCUUUUUUUAAUGUAAGAUUUCUUACGUUUUCUACAACAAAGCUUCUUAGAGGGACAACCGUCUUCUAGAUGGGGGAAGCAUGAGGCAAUAACAGGUCUGUGAUGCCCUUAGAUGUCCUGGGCCGCACGCGCGCUACACUGAUGAAAUCAACAAGUUUGAAAUUCACGGUUCUCGUGAUUUUCCUGAUCCGAGAGGAUUGGGUAAUCUUUUGAAUUUUCAUCGUGAUGGGGAUUGAUGUUUGUAAUUAUGGAUCAUGAACGAGGAAUACCUAGUAAGUGCAAGUCAUCAGCUUGCGCUGAUUACGUCCCUGCCCUUUGUACACACCGCCCGUCGCUCCUACCGAUUGAAUGAUAAGAUGAAAUGUUCGGAUUGAGGGGUCGCAUCAAUUUAAGAAUGGUGUUAAAGCCAUUUGGACGUGAUCUCACUAGAAGAACAGUAAAUCUUCUUAUUUAGA